UUUGUAUAAAUAUAUAUGUAUAUAAUAUUCAAACUACAAUAAAAAUAGAAAAUAUUUAGAACAGAAAUGUGGUUAUUUGUCAUUGUAGGUUAGUAUUGUAUUUUAGUUAAUGUCAUUAAGAAAGCUGCCUCCACGAACUUAAACGGCUCUUGUAAUUUACAAAAGGAUACUAAAUAUUAUGAAUAAAUGGUAGUAUAUCCUAAGAUGUAAAUGAAAAUACGAAACCGUAAGAUGUUUUUAUUUUUCAUAAGGAAAGAAAAACUAUUAAAAAUGAUGUGGCAACCAAGAGAUGAUGUUAAUCAGCUCGGCUUGAAUAAUUCGGCUGAGAGGACAAGUGCGAAAUUUUUGGCAGCACGUGUUGACUGACGAGCAGACACGCACGGGAUUUUUAUCUCCUCAACCGCACUUCCCAUAUUUCUGUCCGAAAUUUAGAUGGUUAGUUGUGAUCCCUAGCCUGUGCUGACGUGGAAGCUUCUGGUUGGUACGUUUUAACAAACUCUAGUGCGCGCUGUUUUGGUCGGAGCCAAAUCGGGUUGGUUCCGUCCAAUUUGUCACGAGAAAGACUCAUUGUGUGGUCUCUGUUAAGGUUGUAGUCACCUAAUUAUAUUGCAAAGUCGUAAGAUUUCGUUUUCUAAUGUAGUACUAUUUACUUUUCUCGGUUGGGUCCAUUGGCCAUACUAAUUUCCGUGGUGAGGAGAGGAACUCGUAGUGCCUCAUCAAAGUCGGUUCCUAGUACAAAUUCGUUUACUAAAACUAUCAAAGUCAGCACCAAUCAUUUUCCGCCGCCAGGAAUGUUAAUGGGCUUUUAUCAAUUUUAAUGGGCUUCUUUUAUUGGGCUUGAUAGUUAUGAGAUUCUUCUCACAACGAUGCCGUUUUGUGCAGCGACGAACGGGUUUCUGCCAGAGAAAGAUAGUAAUUUUAAAUAUCUAAUCGAAUUAAUUUUCAUGCGAAUUUUUUCUUCGAUUUCGUCAUGUGCGUUAAUUCAUGAUUAUCAGAUAGUGUUUUGUUUAAAUUUUUGUUUUGGAAGGGAAACAAGACAGAGAUUGUGAUCUGCAGCUAUGAUGAUCAUAUCCUUGUCAUAGCAACACAGAUUGGAGCCAUGGGGACUAUAUUGCACGCAAGGAAGGAAGAAGGGAUGUCUGUUGAACCAACAUUUAUAUAGAAUCCACGUUUAUAUAGAAUCUACGCCUUACUUAUGCCCACUAUAUUCUUAAGCCAAUGCUGGUAGCAACUGCUCGAAGACUCAUUGAUCACAUAAGUUCUCAUGUUCCCUCGAAGCCUUUGAUUCUCUCGCUUGGUCUCAAUGAUCAUUCUUCGGAGACAUUGAAGGAAAUAGAAGCAGCUGUGAUCGAUAAUCGCCUAUGGUAAUUUGAUAAUGAAAAGAUGUUUUAUGUGUUUGGUUGAUGUAACUAGUAAGUUGUGGUAAUUUGUUUCUAUAAGUUCGGUAAUUCAACGAUAUCAAAGACCUUGCUUCUAGUAAAAAGGUUGCCAAUUUUCCUCUCU